rnacentral:rRNA from 1 species
CGGGGUGCAGCAGGCGCGAAAACUUUACAAUGCUGGCAACAGCGAUAAGGGGACCUUGAGUGCCAGGAUACAAUCCUGGCUGUCGUGAUGCCUAAAAAGCAUUAUAUAGCAAGGGCCGGGCAAGACCGGUGCCAGCCGCCGCGAUAACACCGGCGGCUCGAGUGGUAACCGCUAUUAUUGGGUCUAAAGGGUCUGUAGCCGGCUUGGUUAGUCUCUUGGGAAAUCCGGCAGCUUAACUGUCGGGCUUUCAGGAGAUACUGCCAGGCUCGAGACCGGGAGAGGUGAGAGGUACUUCAUGGGUAGGGGUGAAAUCUUGUAAUCCUUGAAGGACCACCAGUGGCGAAGGCGUCUCACCAGAACGGAUCUGACGGCAAGGGACGAAAGCUAGGGGCACGAACCGGAUUAGAUACCCGGGUAGUCCUAGCCGUAAACGAUACUCGCUAGGUGUCGGCCACGGUGCGACCGUGGUCGGUGCCGUAGGGAAGCCGUGAAGCGAGCCACCUGGGAAGUACGGCCGCAAGGCUGAAACUUAAAGGAAUUGGCGGGGGAGCACAAGGGCGAAUUCGCGG